rnacentral:rRNA from 1 species
AGAGUUUGAUCCUGGCUCAGGAUGAACGCUAGCGGCAGGCUUAAUACAUGCAAGUCGAGGGGCAGCGCGGGUAGCAAUACCUGGCGGCGACCGGCAAACGGGUGCGGAACACGUACGCAACCUUCCCAAAACUGGUGAAUAGCCCUCCGAAAGGAGGAUUAAUACACCGUAACAUAAUGAAGUGGCAUCACUUUAUUAUUAUAACUCCGGUGGUUUUGGAUGGGCGUGCGACUGAUUAGGUAGUUGGCGGGGUAACGGCCCACCAAGCCUGCGAUCAGUAACUGGUGUGAGAGCACGACCAGUCACACGGGCACUGAGACACGGGCCCGACUCCUACGGGAGGCAGCAGUAAGGAAUAUUGGUCAAUGGACGAAAGUCUGAACCAGCCAUGCCGCGUGGAGGAUGAAGGUCCUCUGGAUUGUAAACUUCUUUUAUAUGGGACGAAAAAAGGGUUUUCUAACUCGUCUGACGGUACCAUAUGAAUAAGCACCGGCUAACUCCGUGCCAGCAGCCGCGGUAAUACGGAGGGUGCAAGCGUUAUCCGGAUUCACUGGGUUUAAAGGGUGCGUAGGUGGGUUGGUAAGUCAGUGGUGAAAUCUCCGAGCUUAACUUGGAAACUGCCAUUGAUACUAUCAGUCUUGAAUAUUGUGGAGGUAAGCGGAAUAUGUCAUGUAGCGGUGAAAUGCUUAGAUAUGACAUAGAACACCAAUUGCGAAGGCAGCUGGCUACACAUCUAUUGACACUGAGGCACGAAAGCGUGGGGAUCAAACAGGAUUAGAUACCCUGGUAGUCCACGC